rnacentral:rRNA from 1 species
AUUGAACGCUGGCGGCAGGCUUAACACAUGCAAGUCGAACGGUAGCACAAAGGAGCUUGCUCCUUGGGUGACGAGUGGCGGACGGGUGAGUAAUGCUUGGGAAUCUGGCCUAUGGUGGGGGAUAACUACGGGAAACUGUAGCUAAUACCGCGUAAAAUCUUCGGAUUAAAGUGUGGGACCUUCGGGCCACAUGCCAUGGGAUGAGCCCAAGUGGGAUUAGGUAGUUGGUGGGGUAAAGGCCUACCAAGCCGACGAUCUCUAGCUGGUCUGAGAGGAUGACCAGCCACACUGGAACUGAGACACGGUCCAGACUCCUACGGGAGGCAGCAGUGGGGAAUAUUGCACAAUGGGGGGAACCCUGAUGCAGCCAUGCCGCGUGAAUGAAGAAGGCCUUCGGGUUGUAAAGUUCUUUCGGUGGUGAGGAAGGUGGUUGUUUUAAUAGAACAAUCAAUUGACGUUAACUACAGAAGAAGCACCGGCUAACUCCGU